GAUGAACGCUGACAGAAUGCUUAACACAUGCAAGUCAACUUGAAUUUGGGUUUUUAACUUAGAUUUGGGUGGCGGACGGGUGAGUAACGCGUAAAGAACUUGCCUCACAGCUAGGGACAACAUUUAGAAAUGAAUGCUAAUACCUGAUAUUAUGAUUUUAGGGCAUCCUAGGAUUAUGAAAGCUAUAUGCACUGUGAGAGAGCUUUGCGUCCCAUUAGCUAGUUGGAGAGGUAACGGCUCACCAAGGCGAUGAUGGGUAGCCGGCCUGAGAGGGUGAUCGGCCACAAGGGGACUGAGACACGGCCCUUACUCCUACGGGAGGCAGCAGUGGGGAAUAUUGGACAAUGGACCAAGAGUCUGAUCCAGCAAUUCUGUGUGCACGAUGAAGUUUUUCGGAAUGUAAAGUGCUUUCAGUUGGGAAGAAAAAAAUGACGGUACCAACAGAAGAAGUGACGGCUAAAUACGUGCCAGCAGCCGCGGUAAUACGUAUGUCACAAGCGUUAUCCGGAUUUAUUGGGCGUAAAGCGCGUCUAGGUGGUUAUGUAAGUCUGAUGUGAAAAUGCAGGGCUCAACUCUGUAUUGCGUUGGAAACUGUGUAACUAGAGUACUGGAGAGGUAAGCGGAACUACAAGUGUAGAGGUGAAAUUCGUAGAUAUUUGUAGGAAUGCCGAUGGGGAAGCCAGCUUACUGGACAGAUACUGACGCUGAAGCGCGAAAGCGUGGGUAGCAAACAGG
rnacentral:rRNA from 1 species